rnacentral:rRNA from 1 species
CAAUAGCGUAUAUUAAAAUUGUUGCGGUUAAAAAAGCUCGUAGUUGGAUUUCUGCCGAGGACGACCGGUCCGCCCUCUGGGUGUGCAUCUGGCUCGGCCUGGGCAUCUUCUUGGGGAACGUAUCUGCACUUGGCUGUGUGGUGCGGUAUCCAGGACUUUUACUUUGAGGAAAUUAGAGUGUUUCAAGCAGGCAUACGUCUUGAAUACAUUAGCAUGGAAUAAUAAGAUAGGACCUCGGUUCUAUUUUGUUGGUUUCUUGGGUUGAGGUAAUGAUUAACAGGGAUGGUUGGGGGGCAUUCGUAUUUAACUGUCAGAGGUGAAAUUCUUGGAUUUGUUAAAGACGAACUACUGCGAAAGCAUUUGCCAAGGAUGUUUUCAUUGAUCAAGAACGAAAGUUAGGGGAUCGAAGACGAUUAGAUACC